AUUGAACGCUGGCGGCAUGCCUUACACAUGCAAGUCGAACGGUAACAGGUCUUCGGAUGCUGACGAGUGGCGAACGGGUGAGUAAUACAUCGGAACGUGCCUAGUAGUGGGGGAUAACUACUCGAAAGAGUGGCUAAUACCGCAUGAGAUCUACGGAUGAAAGCAGGGGAUCGCAAGACCUUGUGCUACUAGAGCGGCCGAUGGCAGAUUAGGUAGUUGGUGGGAUAAAAGCUUACCAAGCCGACGAUCUGUACCUGGUCUGAGAGGCACGAUCAGCAACACUGGGACUGAGACACGGCCCAGACUCCUACGGGAGGCAGCAGUGGGGAAUUUUGGACAAUGGGCGAAAGCCUGAUCCAGCAAUGCCGCGUGCAGGGUGAAGGCCUUCGGGUUGUAAACUGCUUUUGUACGGAACGAAAAGCCCCGGGUUAAUACCCUGGGGUCAUGACGGUACCGUAAGAAUAAGCACCGGCUAACUACGUGCCAGCCGCCGCUGUAA
rnacentral:rRNA from 1 species